UACAGUGGUCUCAAGCGUUGUUCGGAUUCAUUGGGCGUAAAGGGUGCGUAGGCGGCGCGGUAAGUCGGAUGUGAAAUCUCGGGGCUUAACUCCGAAACUGCAUUCGAUACUGCCGUGCUUGAGGACUGGAGAGGAGACUGGAAUUUACGGUGUAGCGGUGAAAUGCGUAGAUAUCGUAAGGAAGACCAGUGGCGAAGGCGGGUCUCUGGACAGUUCCUGACGCUGAGGCACGAAGGCCAGGGGAGCAAACGGG
rnacentral:rRNA from 1 species